UACGGAGGGGGCAAGCGUUGUUCGGAAUUACUGGGCGUAAAGGGCGCGCAGGCGGCUGCUCAAGUCAGGCGUGAAAGGCCUGGGCUCAACCCGGGAAUUGCGCUUGAGACUGGGCUGGCUUGAGUGCGGGAGAGGAUGGUGGAAUUCCCAGUGUAGAGGUGAAAUUCGUAGAUAUCGAGAGGAACACCGGUGGCGAAGGCGGCCAACUGGACAGAUACUGACGCUGAGACACGAAAGCGUGGGGAGCAAACAGG
rnacentral:rRNA from 1 species